rnacentral:lncRNA from 1 species
UCUGUAAGCCCUUGAGCUCAGCUGCACAGGUCACAGUCAGACGGGCACAAAACUUCAACCAGCCGUUUCUCUGCCUGGAAGCGGCGAACAUGUAACCUGGACGGGCCAUGCUAAUUCCUAGUGAUGGUGAUCAGGACAAACGUAGUCCCUGCAUCCAAGAACCUACAGACAAGCAGGAGGAGUAUACAGAUGAAGAACGACCACAUCGAAGGCUAAGCAAGCCUGCUCUGCUCUCUAGGGCUACAGAGCCAGGUCUCAGAAGGCUUUGGGGAUAAGCUGACCCUCAAAGACCAGGAGAAAAGAUCACAACUGGUGAAGGAACAGAGGAGGGCAUUCCAAGCAUGGCAAUCACACAUACAAGUGCAAAGAGGCAUGAAGCCGCACGAGGGACUUCAAGGAGGAGGCUGGAUGGGGACACAUACCAUGAGUGACAUCUUACCAGAGGGUGGCCAUGAACUUCAUCAUGUUCCACAACUGUUAAUGACCACUGGCGCUGGCCCUGCUGCUCUCUGAACUCCUCUCUGUGGAACUGUGCCCCUUCUCUGGGAAGAGUCCUUGAAGCUCUACUGAGAAUGAAACCUCUUCUUUCAGCUCAUGUCAAUCUUGGUAUUUUCCCAACAUGUUCAGGUUCUGGCUUGGAGGUGCUAUCUGUUGUUGACUUUGGACAUAAACGAAGCUGUUAUUUGCCUCUUUUGGUUUGUUAUGUUAACAAGCUUUUGGGAUUUGUUCUUUAAGAUUCCCCACCCCUAUUGUAUGAUGAUAGGUGCUGGAACCAGACUGGUUGGGUUCAAAUUUUUGCUGUCGCUAACUUGCUUUGUGAACACAUGUCAGUUACUGAAUCUCCCCGUGCCUCAGUUUUUUAAAUAUGUAAACAGGGAGUUCUCGUAGUACCCGUGGGUCUUAGUCAGUUAUUGCUAUAGAACAAACCACCCCCAGACUUAGUAACAUCAACAACAAC